rnacentral:rRNA from 1 species
AGUGAACGCUGGCGGUAGGCCUAACACAUGCAAGUCGAACGGCAGCACAGUAAGAGCUUGCUCUUACGGGUGGCGAGUGGCGGACGGGUGAGGAAUACAUCGGAAUCUACUUUUUCGUGGGGGAUAACGUAGGGAAACUUACGCUAAUACCGCAUACGACCUACGGGUGAAAGCAGGGGAUCUUCGGACCUUGCGCGAUUGAAUGAGCCGAUGUCGGAUUAGCUAGUUGGCGGGAUAAAGGCCCACCAAGGCGACGAUCCGUAGCUGGUCUGAGAGGAUGAUCAGCCACACUGGAACUGAGACACGGUCCAGACUCCUACGGGAGGCAGCAGUGGGGAAUAUUGGACAAUGGGCGCAAGCCUGAGCCAGCCAUACCGCGUGGGUGAAGAAGGCCUUCGGGUUGUAAAGCCCUUUUGUUGGGAAAGAAAAGCAGCAGGUUAAUACCCCGCUGUUCUGACGGUACCCAAAGAAUAAGCACCGGCUAACUUCGUGC